rnacentral:ncRNA from 2 species
UACUUUUGCACCCGCAAUGGUUUAACUGCAACUUUUCAAGGGCAGUUAACGAAGAGGGAAUCAGGUGCAAAUCCUGAACAAGCCCGUUACUGUAAAUUCCAUGCAACAUUUUGACAGAUUAGGAGAGCUUUUUUUGGCUUUCGAAAUCAAAUCUUUUGCCACUGCAUUUUCAUCAAAUGUGGGAAGGCGGCUCAAAAUGGGAAUAAGUCAGGAGACCUGCCACUGCAUAUAAUUUUAG